GCGACGACGGCUUGUUGCGCUUUCAAAACUGCGGCGGAGUUUGCAAUGCGACGUAAUUUGAUAUUUAAAUCGAUUUGCCUUGUCACAAAUUGUACUGAAAUUGUCGCUGCGUAUUGCUGGGAUGGCUACAAUUAGCGAUAGACAGAGCGCAUCGUCAGUUAUUGGAACUCGAUAUGGUCGACCGUCUUUAACAGCGACAUCUGAUUUGGUCGAUUUAUCGAAGUUUUAAAUAAGAAUGUAUCGGAUGACUGUAGCAUAAAAAAUGCGUAUACGAUAACACUUUCUCCUUACUUUACGCACAAUCACGGUGCUAGUAUUUAAUCGACAACCCGCCACAGCCAGUCGAUAAUUCUAUUGGCGCGUCCAGCUGGUAUUCGAAUAAUGUCGGCCAAAUGUAAAUUUAGAUACGAAAAAAAAAAAAAACAAAUUUAUUUAGCUUCAAUUGAGGUGAGUAUCUGGCAUCAAAAAUAACUUACAAUGCGCAACAUUUUAUGCUGGGCUCACUAAUUUUGUACUCAUGGAGGUCACAUAGAAAUAGAUAGAAAUAGUCAAUAUAACUUGAAAUAAAGAAAAGUGAGAAAGAAAAAAAAA